UUAACGGAGAGUUUGAUCCUGGCUCAGGACGAACGCUGGCGGCGUGCUUAACACAUGCAAGUCGAACGAUGAGGGCCCGGGCUUGCCCCGGGUCUGAUUAGUGGCGAACGGGUGAGUAACACGUGAGUAACCUGCCCCCCGACUUCGGGAUAACCGCGAGAAAUCGUGGCUAAUACCGGAUAUGACGCCCCUGCGCAUGGUGGGGUGUGGAAAGACUGUGUCGGUCGGGGGAUGGGCUCGCGGCCUAUCAGCUUGUUGGUGGGGUGAUGGCCUACCAAGCCGACGGGUAGC
rnacentral:ncRNA from 1 species